rnacentral:lncRNA from 1 species
AUCACUAUUCUUAGACUGAGGAAUGCCAAGUUGCUCUCCAUGCUGCUGUUAGAUUAAUUAUGGUUAAUCUUCAAUUGCAAUUAAGGUAUUAAUAAUCCUGAACAAGUCUCUGAUGUUUCUUAAAAACUUUUUAAAUGGUAUGAGUGACAGUCCUUGUCACUUGCCUGAAGCACUGCAACUGUUGGCAAUCCUUUCACGUUAUUUUUAAGUGCUGUUUCUUCUCUACUCUAGUAACUCAGUCUAUUUUAUCUGUGGUUGUGG